rnacentral:rRNA from 1 species
CCCAAAGUACGGAAUAGCCUCUGGAAACGGAGAGUAAUACCGUAUGUGCCCUUCGGGGAAAGAUUUAUCGCCUUUGGAUUAGCCCGCGUUGGAUUAGGUAGUUGGUGGGGUAAUGGCCUACCAAGCCUACGAUCCAUAGCUGGUUUGAGAGGAUGAUCAGCAACACUGGGACUGAGACACGGCCCAGACUCCUACGGGAGGCAGCAGUGGGGAAUCUUAGACAAUGGGGGAAACCCUGAUCUAGCCAUGCCGCGUGAGUGACGAAGGCCCUAGGGUCGUAAAGCUCUUUCGCCAGGGAUGAUAAUGACAGUACCUGGUAAAGAAACCCCGGCUAACUCCGUGCCAGCAGCCGCGGUAAUACGGAGGGGGUUAGCGUUGUUCGGAAUUACUGGGCGUAAAGCGCGCGUAGGGGAUUAGUCAGUCAGAGGUGAAAUCCCAGGGCUCAACCCUGGAACUGCCUUUGAUACUGCUAGUCUUGAGUUCGAGAGAGGUGAGUGGAAUUCCGAGUGUAGAGGUGAAAUUCGUAGAUAUUCGGAGGAACACCAGUGGCGAAGGGGCUCACUGGCUCGAUACUGACGCUGAGGUGCGAAAGUGUGGGGAGCAAACAGGAUUAGAUACCCUGGUAGUCCACACCGUAAACGAUGAAUGCCAGACGUCGGGCAGUAUACUGUUCGGUGUCACACCCUAACGGAUUAAGCAUUCCGCC